ensembl:lncRNA
CCGUUACAGGAAGCAGCCGGGCCGCUCUGUGGCGCCAUCUUGGUUGAUGGCAAACUGCCUCACUCUCUGUAGGUCGGCCAUCUUGGACGAGGGGUGAGGUAGCUGGCAGGGAGGUGACGCUGCGGCUGCCAUGUUGAGUGAGGGCAGCCUAACAAGAUCUUGAUGGUGCUGCCGUAUGAGGUGGUUUAACUUCUAAUUCUUGAGGGGCAGGGUAACAUUUUUUGCAUUGGAAAUUGGUUAUUAUGGGGCAAUCAUCGUUCCACUUUUCACGUCUCUGUGUGACCAGAGGGUAAACAUCUUGAACUUCAGAGUCUGCAUACCACCUAAUCCCGAGGGAGUCCCCAGGGCCUGUCUGCAUUGAGCUGAAACCUCAGUUCUUAAGCAUCAGGAUCUGCCAGAUUUACAGCCUUCAAAGAGUAGCUUAGCAUCCAAAAUAGUGUAAAGCCUGUGCUGACCUGGCAGGACAGAAGCAGCAACAAGGGAGCUGAAAGCUGUUUUGGAGCCUCUAGUGAACACUGAGGAUCACGUUCCUUCCACGUGAAUGCUACCCAGUGGACUAACCAGCUCAUGAAUGUCAAACCAGCCUCAUUCUUCCUGCCAUGGUUUACACUACGUCCUCAAAGUAGCAGAAAUUAAUGAUAUCAUUGAGGUCAUACUACCUAUAUGCCUGGUCUAUACGUACUUAUAUAUGCAAUUCAUCAGCAACAUGUGCAAAAUAUAUUUUAUUGUGUGCAUUCUAGUGCAGGUAAGGUUUCUGAGGAGAGGCAAUAGAAAAAAAAAACAAUUCUCAGAAGAGAAUUCAAAAUCAUUCAUUUAACAGCAGUACUUUGUCUUUAAGAGGCCUGGGUUGUGAAUUCUGUACAGUUUAAGUUGAAAAAUGCUAAAACGAUUGGAGAUUAUUGUUCUGUUUUAGUGAUUCAAUUUACUUAUUGGAUAAAUGUAAGUUGAUUUCCAUAGCCAUCCUCUUUCCUUGUAUGCUAGCACCUCUCUGAUGACAGGAGUCAAGAGUCAUCAAAUUCCCUCACAGAUAAGCUGAUAGGAAAUUCUAAGGUACAAAUUACUAACUCUGUGUUUGUGAUGAGCACUAUUACAGUGAUCUCUUGCACACUGAGCUGUUCAGAGUAGUACGACUCAUGCCUGUAAUCUCUUAACAUCUAUUUUCAGACUUCUUCAUUUCCGAAGGCAUUUUACCUUUCCUUAAAUAUUUAGGAAUAUUGAAAUUUACCUCCACAGCUGCUUUUAAAAUAUAUAUAUUACUGUUCCUGUACUUUACAAGACCACCCCUAAUAUCCUUUCGUAAUUGCACAAGGUCUUUUCACAUAUGUAUAUCAAAUUAGUCAGUGAAAUUCAGAUGCAUUGGACAAGUUUUCUCCAUGAACCAAUGUUGCGUGCCUGGAAGUGGUGCAUAUCACUGGUUUUAAUUUUGUUUUCACAGAGAUCAUACCCUUUUAUCUUUACAGACGAGCAAAAUGUCCAUUACUGUAAGUGGAAAUAGGAUUACAUUCCGGCUAUUAAAAUGGACAUGACUAAGUUUUUUCUGGGUUGAUCAGAACUGCUAUCUCAAAAAUUCAACUUCCAUGGAAGAAGAGCAGGUCCUCCAAAUGUUUGUCAAAAUCUUUCUCACUGUCAAGCUCAAGUCUGAUGUUUGUUUCCAGUAUCACAUAUGUUAACUUUAUCCUCGUAUUUUUAUGCAAUGAGUUUGCUUUUUUGAUCGCUGUUCAUUGAGUUGCAACACAUCUGGAAGCUUGGCAAAUAGCAGGGGUAGAUCUCCUAAUAACAGGAUUGUUUCAUGGGAAUUUCAUAUAUAGAAAUACGUGAGAUUUGUGAAAGGUGAUCCUAACUUACCUGACAGAACUUUUGUCAUAGGUAAAUAAUGAAUAGCAAGACAAAACCUAGAAGAGUAUGCCAUGUUCCAAACACCCAAUCUGCUUUUGAAUGCUAACAAGAAGUUUGUCUGCUCCAGUUUUGUUGGAGUACUGCUAACAAGGGCCUUAGACUGCACCAGCAGUUAUAGUGAGACUUGGUCUGCAAGGCUGAGACCCUAGCAUGUGUCAGAGGUGGUUUGGGAUGUUCCUCCCUUUGGCUGGAUUUUAUUGCUCCACUACAGAGACAGAAGUGUUGCCUGUGUCUCAGUGACUCCAAUGCAGAAUGUUAUUGCAAAAAGCCUUCUUUGCUGGUGGUUUAAAAUAAUGUGCCAUGGCAGGGAAGAGCCAAGUGUUCCAAUCAGUCUUUUAGCUUGUUCUGGAUCAAGUGGCCUCAAGUAGUGAGGGUCAAGCAGCUCCUGAAACUGUGUGACGAGACUGACCCAGAGGGGAAUAUCCAUCUCAGUGAUGUCCCAUCAUUUUUCACAAACAGAAAGAAGUAAAAUUGAAUUCUAGAUAUCUAUGGCAAGAAAAGGACACAAACUCAAUAAUGGCAGCAGAAUGUGGGAAGUUACGGGCAGAAGAGUGUACAGAGAGCUGGUGUGUAAAGGGAACAGCACAGUGACAAAGGCAAGCACAAAAACAGCAGGGAGAUGAGAAGCCCAGCCUCUGCAGCCUUCAAUAUCCAGCAUGACAGGGAGACCUCUUGAGAGUGGCUAGACCAGCUCUUGCUGCAAGAGCCAUGAAAGUUGAGAAUAAAUGCCUGAGUAAUCAUAACAUUCACUAGGCUCUUAUGCAGGAACACUCUCUUAAAUUAUGAGGGCUGCAUUUCAGCCCUGGGAAAAGGGUGCUUUCUCGGAGCCAGCUCCUUGGUUCUAGUGAACAAAUACAAUCCCAGCAGGCUUAAAUGGUGUCACUGAUGUGCUCUGGAGGCAUCCUUGCCAGAGUGUGCUUCCCUUCAUCUCUGCACUACCAUUCAAUCUAAGUGCAGCCUACGUUAUUUGAAGGGAGAUAUAUAUGCAUCUUAGAGCAGUGAGCUACAGCCACCCCUUCUCUAAUGUUAUUGUACCCACGAGGUGUGAGUUACUGGUGGAUUUGGCUCAUGGUUUUCAUUUUGUAAGCAAUGAACUAAAAAUAUUUUAACAAGCAUAAUAAAACUGUAAAUUUAUAUGGUCUAUCCUUUGUUGGAAGGAGGCUUGAUUCCCACCGUAGCUGAGAGAGAGCUAUUUUCAGAGUACUAGACUGGGCUCUGUGCCUUCAUUUGGCCUAACUGGGGUCUGACAUAUCCAAUCUAGAUGUUGAGGAAUUCUCAUGCCUCUGUUCUUCUGUAUAUGCAGUGCUACUGAGUUGGAAAUGUAGCUCCAAACAGCAUGAAGAGCCAAAAUUUUUCUUCCUAAUGCAAGCUGAUUGUGAAAUACUCCA